UACGUAGGGGGCAAGCGUUGUCCGGAUUUAUUGGGCGUAAAGAGCGUGUAGGCGGCUAGAUAGGUCCGUUGUGAAAACUCGAGGCUCAACCUCGAGACGUCGAUGGAAACCAUCUGGCUAGAGUCCGGAAGAGGAGAGUGGAAUUCCUGGUGUAGCGGUGAAAUGCUUAGAUAUGACAUAGAACACCAAUUGCGAAGGCAGCUCACUACACAAAGAUUGACACUGAGGCACGAAAGCGAGGGGAUCAAACAGG
rnacentral:rRNA from 1 species